UGGGGAAUAUUGCACAAUGGGCGCAAGCCUGAUGCAGCCAUGCCGCGUGUGUGAAGAAGGCCUUCGGGUUGUAAAGCACUUUCAGCGGGGAGGAAGGCGGUGAGGUUAAUAACCUCAUCGAUUGACGUUACCCGCAGAAGAAGCACCGGCUAACUCCGUGCCAGCAGCCGCGGUAAUACGGAGGGUGCAAGCGUUAAUCGGAAUUACUGGCGUAAAGCGCACGCAGGCGGUCUGUCAAGUCGGAUGUGAAAUCCCCGGGCUCAACCUGGGAACUGCAUUCGAAACUGGCAGGCUAGAGUCUUGUAGAGGGGGGUAGAAUUCCAGGUGUAGCGGUGAAAUGCGUAGAGAUCUGGAGGAAUACCGGUGGCGAAGGCGGCCCCCUGGACAAAGACUGACGCUCAGGUGCGAAAGCGUGGGGAGCAAACAGG
rnacentral:rRNA from 1 species